rnacentral:rRNA from 1 species
UACGUAGGGGGGCAAGCGUUGUCCGGAAUCAUUGGGCGUAAAGCGCGUGUAGGCGGCCCGGUAAGUCCGCUGUGAAAGUCGGGGGCUCAACCCUCGGAUGCCGGUGGAUACUGUCGGGCUCGAGUACGGAAGAGGCGAGUGGAAUUCCUGGUGUAGCGGUGAAAUGCGCAGAUAUCAGGAGGAACACCAAUUGCGAAGGCAGCUCGCUGGGACGUUACUGACGCUGAGACGCGAAAGCGUGGGGAGCAAACAGG